GUGUUUGCUUCGGCAGCACAUAUACUAAAAUUGGAACGCAGAGAAGAUUAGCAUGGCCCCUGUGCAAGGAUGACACACAAAUUUGUGAAGCAUUCCGUAUUUUU